GAGGAGAGCCUUUGGGCACUGAGGUUUGUGACCGAAGCAUGCGUAGAGGGCUGUAGUCUCAGACCAGAAUGUUCACCAGGAACUCUGAGCCAAUAGAAUCGCUUGUUGUUGAGUUUUGUCAACAGGCUUUCAUAUUAACCAAUCAGAUGAGGACAACCCCCGGAAAAUAAUGGAAUGUGGCAUCUGAGACUUGUAAACACUCUCCAGCAGGUAAAAAGGCUUAAAACAGUCAAGAGCCAGCUCAGAGUGGCGUUGGCACAUAUAGGAUUACACAAACCGUGUGGAUUGUUUUACUAUAACAUGGAUUAUUAUGACCAUAAACCAGCAAAGGAUUAAGUGACACUUUGUAUUGUGGCAGAAUGGAAUGACUGUCUCCACCUAAAGCACAAGAAAGAAGAAAGAAGACCAAGAACUCUAUUAAAUAAUAAUUAAAUAACGUCUGUUAGUCCAAAUAAUCAUGUGAAGCCUAAUGUUCAAUCAAUCUGUGAAAUGAGAAUAUUAAUUACUUCAUAUUAUAAUCCUAUGAUGGUAUUUUAAUAAGUAAUAAAACUUUAAAUGUUUACACUAGCCUGAUCACACGUAAUGCUAAAGUCACAUUUCUUUUUUCUGAUCCAAUCAGAACCUUCCGGAUUUGACACGAGGCGUGGUUUUGUUGGUGCUUGUAUAAUCCCCUUUUGUUGUCAAAUUCUGAUUCGACAGUAAAUCAAAACAUCCAAAUUAUAAAACUAUGCGCCACGUCAUCUUAACUUCAGUUCAAAGCAUUCUAGAGAAGUUAUCGGAGUGGAAAAUCCGUAACUUUCCUCUUAAAGGUGAAAGAACCUAACGACAAGCUGCAUUAAAUCUGUUGCAUGUUCCACCUGUUGCAGCGGUUCCUUCAGAAUAAAAGCUGAACCAUCACGACCCCUUCAGGGUCUCGCUGACGCCAAUAAACUGUCGUGACCUGGGAGUAACUCAAGACUGGAGGGUCGGCAACCGCUGCAUAUCUACAGGCGUCGGUUCCAAGAGGGUCUAAGCUGGAUCCCCGACAUUCCGGAUCUAAACGGGGACUUCCGUUGGGGUACGUAGACCGACAGAUGGCGUCUCAAUGUAUGUUAUAAUCUCCAAACCAAAGCUCAGAGCGAAACACCCUCUCACUCCCACUCAGAACUAAUAGUCUCUCCAGAUUUGCUGGUUCUGAACAUAUUUCACACACACACACCAUCCUCAGUCUUACUCCACCUUAGUUACAUCAUACACAUAGUGUUUAAAGUUAGUCUUGUUUAAAUUGUUUAGAAAUAAAUCUUCUUAAACUUUAAAACUUGACUCUCUCUCUCGCUCGUCUCUGGGUUAAUACAAAGUGUUAUCUAAUCCCUGCAAUAAAAAGUUCCGAUCUUCUGGUUAAAGUAAUAAUCAAAGAUCCACCAAACUGAUUUCAUAUUUCCUAUGGAAUCUCACAUUUUAUGGGUCAUUAGUUAAGAUGUAACUAACGAAUCUUUACAGUAUUAACUCCAAGGAAAGAGAGUCAGGUUUAAAAUAGUUAAGAAAUGUAUCUCUACAUAAUUUAAACAAGACUAACUUAAACACUCUGUGUACUGAUGGAACUAAAGUGGAGUGAGACGUGGUGAAUGAUGAUGGUGUGUGUGUGUGUGUGUAAUGUUAUUCAGAACCAGCGGAUCCGGAGAAGCAGUUCGUUCUGAGUGGGAAUGAAUGUUUCGCUCUAAACUUUAGUAGGGGAUUUAUAACACAUGAAACGCCAUCUGUCGGUCUACGUACCCCAGGGGAACCUCCGAUUAGAUCCAGAAUGCUGAGGUCCUCUUGGACCCUCUUUGGUACCGAAGCCGGUAGAAAAGCAGCGGUGCCGACCAAACUAGUCUUGGAAUGCUUCCAGGUAAUGACAGGUUAUCACUGGCGUCUCCGAGACCCUGAAGGGGUCGUGAGGUUCAGCUUUUAUUCUGAAGGAACCGUUGUAGUCAGGUGUAACUUGCAACAGAUUUUAUCCAGCUUGUCGAGGUUCUUUUGGCUGAAGAGGAAGUCCGGAUGGCCUGUACGAGACUUCUCUAGAACGCUUUAACUAAAGAAAAGGUGGCGUGGGAUAGUUUUUAUAACUAUCACAUUUUGGUUUACUGGCGAAUCAGAAUUUGACAUGAAAAAGAGGGUUUAUACAGACACCACAGAAAACCAGGCCUUGCGCCAGAAUGCGAAGGUUCCGAUUGGGUCAGACAAAAGGAAAUGUGUCAUGUGGCUUUAGCAAUGCGUGUCAUUAGUGUCUAGUGCAAAUGUCCAAGAUUAUAAUUACUUGUAAAAUACUACUGAUCACAGGAUUAUAAUAUCAAGUAAUAACAUUGUUAUUUCACAGAUUGAUUGAACAUUGGGCUCACAUUAUUAUUGGUAAUAACAAAGUUGUUGAUUAUGUAUUUAUCAAAAUAGUUCUUCCUCUUCAUCUUGGUAACAAAGGUGAAGCAGUUCAGAUGAACAGAGUGCAUGAAAGACCUUGGCCACUAUCUCAUGUAGAUUAGCCUGUCAGAGACUUUAUGUCUCUGCUCGAGCAGACGCAGCAGAUCGUGACCUUUAGGUCAUAAACAGGACAUUCAUGACUCUACAUUUCUGUGUGCUAAUCUCGACGUGUAUUUAGCGUUUUGCUGUUAUUUUUUAGAUAUAGACACCUUUGACAGUAAUUCUUGCAAUGACUGGGAAGAAAACAGCUUCACCAGCAUCAAUUUAGACCAGGAAAGAACUCAAAGUCAUUCAUUCACUUCUUCACAAUAAGUGGAUUCACUUUGCCCUCAGAGAGGUAUUUACAUUGGCACAAUCAUUUCUCUCACUAAUGUCGGGCCGGUGAGACUCACCCAUUGUGCUCUGAAUCACUGACUGGUGGUUGCGCACUUCCUUCACAAAAUAAACGUUCCUUGUUGAGAAAACCAAGUGCCAAAAAAGA